UGUGUCUCCUGGGCUUCCGUAGCUCCUCCGCUUCCCCCUUUUUCUUCAGCGUUGUUCCGCGCUGCUCUGGGGCUGAAGUGCAGGGAGGUGACGAGAAGAUUCAUUUGUUUUUACUCUUCUCCCCCAGAUUGCCAAGUCUCUGGAUCUCUCGCUGUAAAUCAAUGAUAGGCAUUCGGUUCACAAACCAGCCUUUCAGAUUUUGGCCAGCGCUCCAUGCUGGGGUCUCAUC